GACGAACGCUGGCGGCGUGCUUAACACAUGCAAGUCGAACGGAAAGGCCCUGCUUGCAGGGUACUCGAGUGGCGAACGGGUGAGUAACACGUGGGUGAUCUGCCCUGCACUUCGGGAUAAGCUUGGGAAACUGGGUCUAAUACCGGAUAGGAACCAUCUUUAGUGUGGUGGUUGGAAAGUUUUUUCGGUGUAGGAUGAGCUCGCGGCCUAUCAGCUUGUUAGUGGGGUAAUGGCCUACCAAGGCGGCGACGGGUAGCCGGCCUGAGAGGGUGUACGGCCACAUUGGGACUGAGAUACGGCCCAGACUCCUACGGGAGGCAGAAGUGGGGAAUAUUGCACAAUGGGCGCAAGCCUGAUGCAGCGACGCCGCGUGGGGGAUGAAGGCCUUCGGGUUGUAAACUCCUUUCGCUAGGGACGAAGCUUUGUUGUGACGGUACCUAGAUAAGAAGCACCGGCUAACUACGUG
rnacentral:rRNA from 1 species